UACGUAGGGGGCUAGCGUUGCUCGGAAUCACUGGGCGUAAAGCGCACGUAGGCGGCUUUCUAAGUCAGGGGUGAAAUCCUGGAGCUCAACUCCAGAACUGCCCUUGAUACUGGAAAGCUCGAGUCCGGGAGAGGUGAGUGGAACUGCGAGUGUAGAGGUGAAAUUCGUAGAUAUUCGCAAGAACACCAGUGGCGAAGGCGGCUCACUGGCCCGGUACUGACGCUGAGGCGCGAAAGCCAGGGGAGCAAACGGG
rnacentral:rRNA from 1 species